rnacentral:misc_RNA from 1 species
UCCAUCCAAAACCAGCUGCGGUCGCGGCCCCACGCUUACCCGUGGUGGUGCGCGCCGCACGUCUGCACCCUUUUUUUACGAGCACCUUCGUUCUCCCUCGGCAGGGCAACCUGCCGUUGGAAUCAAACAAAACCUUUUUUUUGCAUCUAGCAUUACCUGUUCUGAUACAAACAAUCGUUA